AGUGAACGCUGGCGGUAGGCCUAACACAUGCAAGUCGAACGGCAGCACAGUAAGAGCUUGCUCUUACGGGUGGCGAGUGGCGGACGGGUGAGGAAUACAUCGGAUUCUACUUUUUCGUGGGGGAUAACGUAGGGAAACUUACGCUAAUACCGCAUACGACCUACGGGUGAAAGCAGGGGAUCUUCGGACCUUUCGCGAUUGAAUGAGCCGAUGUCGGAUUAGCUAGUUGGCGGGGUAGAGGCCCACCAAGGCGACGAUCCGUAGAUGGUCUGAGAGGAUGAUCAGCCACACUGGAACUGAGACACGGUCCAGACUCCGACGGGAGGCAGCAGUGGGGAAUAUUGGAGGAUGGGCGCAAGCCUGAUCCAGCCAUACCGGGUGGGUGAAGAAGGCCUUCGGGUUGUAGAGCCCUUUUGUUGGGAAAGAAAAGCAGCAGGUUAAUACCCCGCGGUUCUGACGGUACCCAAAGAAUAAGCACCGGCUAACUUCGUG
rnacentral:rRNA from 1 species